rnacentral:tRNA from 1 species
ACCCUUUUAGUAUAAAAGUAUAUUUAACUUCCAAUUAAAAGGUCUUAUUGAGAAAGGGUA